UUAGCUGGUGGCGUGCUUCCUGACUUCGGGCGGACCUCACGCGAACGCUGGUUACCAGCGCAGAUACCAGGCCCGCUAAUAACGCGGGCUUUUUUUU
rnacentral:sRNA from 1 species